CAAACCCAAGGAGACUUGUGUGGACAGCUGGGAGAGAAGAAGGAUCAGGAGGGCUGGAGAUCUUGACGGUGUUUCACGAGAUCAUUGUCUCCUCAAAGCUGUCACUUGGGAAACCAAAGCCUAUUCUGCAGAUGGCAGGAGAAAGGUGUCAUCUGGAGGCAGCACGAUGGGAGACGACAUGAAGUUGUCGAUCUUCAUCCCUCUCUGAGGUGCAAGGGAUCAACACCGGCUUCAACUUUAAAGGUCCUGACUGAGAGCACCGCGUUUGUUGCC